rnacentral:misc_RNA from 1 species
UGGUGAUAGCCCAGUACAGUGGAUGCAAUUACUACAUGCCCUAGAUCAGCAAGGUACUUGCAAAUUUUGCAAUGGUUUUAACUGAUCUCUCAUAGAAUUGAAUGGACUCUUUUUGGAGAAAGGGUCUCAGUCAAUAUGAAUGUAGGAUUAGGGUUGAGGAAUUCCGUCAACAUCUUAGAAUUGAUGGUGUUUCUGCAAAGGAAACAAUGGCUGUGCUCUGAACUGAUAAUGUGACUCAAACUCUCUGAGGCAGUUUUUGCCUUUGCUUAGUGAAACAGUGACAAAAAUAUUUUUCAUGAAUAAUCAAUGGGUCAUGGUUAUGAUUUGGCCUUUUUUGAUGUUAAGCCCGUGCAUUUUUUUCUAUUACCUCUCCUUCUCUCAGAUCUCCCGGGGUGGCCCUUGCUUACUCCUCUGAAGGUGCAGAUGCAAAAGUGUG